CAGUCGCCGCGGGAAUACGUAGGUGGCAAGCGUUGUCCGGAAUUAUUGGGCGUAAAGGGCGUGUAGGCGGCCUGGGGCGUCCCAUGUGAAAGGCCACGGCUCAACCGUGGAGGAGCGUGGGAUACGCUCAGGCUAGAGGGUGGGAGAGGGUGGUGGAAUUCCCGGAGUAGCGGUGAAAUGCGCAGAUACCGGGAGGAACGCCGAUGGCGAAGGCAGCCACCUGGUCCACUUCUGACGCUGAGGCGCGAAAGCGUGGGGAGCAAACCGGAUUAGAUACCCCAGUAGUCCCUGUCUCUUAUAA
rnacentral:rRNA from 1 species